rnacentral:misc_RNA from 1 species
CCUGCCAUAGGAACAGUCCGGAUAAGUUAUUCAUAUGCAUAGUUUAUUCGGCAAGUUUUAUUAAAUAUAUUCAAUAUACUUAUAUUACACCCUUAAACAAGUCUGUACAAAUACUUAAAUACAGGUAUCAUACAUUAGAAAGUGCAAUGGAGAUUAAAUGGUAUAUCUGUGCUGAUUAACGUUUUUUAGGUUGCCCAUAGUCUCCAAUUAAAUUACUUCCCUAAACCCAUAAUCAAUUCUGCCGUUCCCUGGUUUAUCUCCCUCAUUCAAUCUUCCCGUUCUUCUCUUUCUGCAUAAAUUAGCGCUUUCAAUCGCCUUCUGGGCCAUUUCUUUCCGACUGAAAUCCGCCAAAAUCUCUCUUGGCCUAGGCUAUCACCAGCAUCGAUUCUCGUUGCAUCUAUAAAUAGCAUCUUGUUGCACUGCCCGUAUCCGUGGGAUUCGCGAGUGAGCCGUGGGAUUACCGACGUAUUGCCUUCCAUUGGCCGCAGACCAGAAAUGCGAGAGGUGGCCAAUGUCAAUGCCAUGGCCAUGGGCGCAUAUGGCCAAAUGCAAAUGCAAAUGCGAAACCGAAACCGAAACAGAAUCAGAAUCGCAAUCGGAAGCAAAGAGCCAAAAAGCGAUGGAGGAGAAGCACUACAAAAUAAUCCAACGGUCGCCGCAAGAGAAACACUUCCCAUUUCUUCCGGCCGCAAAGAGAGGUGCCAGGGCGGUGAUUAAAUCAGUUAAGAGGCAUUGGCCAUUGCAGCCAGGUCUCCUCUACCCGGGGCCAAAUCCCCCUGGUCAUCUCCUCCCAACCAACCCGUCCCCCGCUCCCAUCGACGCCCAAAUUCAUUGGCGCCUUUCCCUUCCGCCUUCCGCCUUUGGCUGUUGCGCAUUUUGUGUUUUGCUCUCAACGUUCAUUUUGGCCUUCUUUUUCUGGCCAAAUGAUUUAAUUUCAUGCAUUUCGCUUUGCGGCAAUGGCGAUGCUUAUUAGUUGCAAUUUGCCAGCUCUGGCAUAAGUUUACUCUAGCCAAAGCCAACAGUAGCAAGCACCGCAAACUAAACCAAAUAAAUAAAAUAAUUGCCUUUCCGAGAAGUUGAUAGAAUGGGUAAAAAUAAGGGUGGCGGUGGUGGAGGAGGAGGUGGCGGUGGUGGAGGCGGCGGCAAUGUAAGCAAUAUUUGUGUUAUGCAACUUGCGUACUAAUUAAAAAGGGCGGCGGUGGUGGCGGAGGCGGCGGCGGAGGUGGCUCCGGAAAUAAAAACAAAGGCGGCGAUGGAGGCGGCGGUGACAA